UACGUAGGGACCAAGCGUUGUUCGGAUUUACUGGGCGUAAAGGGCGCGUAGGCGGCAAUUCAAGUCAGUUGUGAAAUCUCCGAGCUUAACUCGGAACGGUCAACUGAUACUGUUUUGCUAGAGUGCAGAAAGGGCAACCGGAAUUCUUGGUGUAGCGGUGAAAUGCGUAGAUAUCAAGAGGAACACCUGAGGCGAAGGCGGGUUGCUAGGCUGACACUGACGCUGAGGCGCGAAAGCUAGGAUAGCAAACGGG
rnacentral:rRNA from 1 species